rnacentral:rRNA from 1 species
GAUGAACGCUGGCGGCGUGCCUAAUACAUGCAAGUCGAGCGAACGGACGAGAAGCUUGCUUUUCUGAUGUUAGCGGCGGACGGGUGAGUAACACGUGGAUAACCUACCUAUAAGACUGGGAUAACUUCGGGAAACCGGAGCUAAUACCGGAUAAUAUUUUGAACCGCAUGGUUCAAAAGUGAAAGACGGUCUUGCUGUCACUUAUAGAUGGAUCCGCGCUGCAUUAGCUAGUUGGUAAGGUAACGGCUUACCAAGGCAACGAUGCAUAGCCGACCUGAGAGGGUGAUCGGCCACACUGGAACUGAGACACGGUCCAGACUCCUACGGGAGGAAGCAGUAGGGAAUCUUCCGCAAUGGGCGAAAGCCUAACAGAGCAACGACGCGUAAGUGAUGAAGGUAUUCGGACCGUAAAACUCUGUUAUUAGGGAAGAACAUAUGUGUAAGUAACUGUGCACAUCUUGACGGUACCUAAUCAGAAAGCCACGGCUAACUACGUG